AAGGGGCUCACCCCGCCUCGCGGCUGCGUCCUGCGCCCCGCGCCCUGCCCCCAGCCUCUGCUGGCGCUAAACCCCGGAGAGCGGAGCGUGCACGCUGAGCCUCCUCGGCGGGCCCGGCCGCGGCGCUGGGCAUGCUCAGUGGGCCGGCCCCGGUAGAGCGGCGAGCGGCACAGGCACCAAGAUGUCCAACCGAGUGGUCUGCCGGGAAGCCAGCCACGCCGGGAGCUGGUACACCGCCUCAGGACCUCAGCUGAACGCUCAGCUGGAAGGUUGGCUUUCACAAGUACAGUCUACGAAAAGACCUGCUAGAGCCAUUAUUGCACCCCAUGCGGGAUACACAUACUGUGGGUCCUGUGCUGCCCAUGCUUACAAACAAGUGGAUCCAUCUGUUACCCGGAGAAUUUUCAUCCUUGGGCCUUCCCAUCAUGUGCCCCUGUCUCGAUGUGCACUCUCCAGUGUGGAUAUAUAUAGGACUCCUCUGUAUGAUCUUCGUAUUGACCAAAAGAUUUACGGAGAGCUAUGGAAGACAGGAAUGUUUGAACGAAUGUCUCUGCAGACAGAUGAAGAUGAACACAGUAUUGAAAUGCAUUUGCCUUAUACAGCUAAAGCCAUGGAAAGCCAUAAAGAUGAGUUUACCAUUAUUCCUGUACUGGUUGGAGCUCUGAGUGAGUCAAAAGAACAGGAAUUCGGAAAACUCUUCAGUAAAUAUCUAGCGGAUCCUAGUAAUCUCUUUGUGGUUUCUUCUGAUUUCUGCCACUGGGUGGUUUACAGAUCAGUUCCAAUCAAUUUACUAAAAAGCGUGCUCUGGAAUGGAUUCACAAAUGAGCUACCCUCCUUCCCUCAAAGAGUAAGGUUUCUGCUUUACAGGAUUUUUUUUUCCUUGGGUUAUUUUUCCUCUCAUCUUUUGAAUUUGAAAAGAACUGAGGGAAGGCACCUGAAGAAACCACUGAUACACUCACUAGGGAGUUGCAGAGCUUGUCCCGCCCCUAGGGCGGAGUCCAUGCUCCUAAAGCUAAAGCUCACACUUGAAGUGGAAACAGGGGCUCAGAGAAUCCAUUUUCCCAGUGUGCCUUCUGAAAGGAUAAGUCUCAGGUCAAAGGUUCCGUUACAGUUACUAUGAUGAAUCCCAGGGGGAGAUUUAUAGAUCCAUUGAACAUCUAGAUAAAAUGGGUAUGAGUAUUAUAGAACAAUUAGAUCCUGUAUCUUUUAGCAAUUAUUUGAAGAAAUAUCAUAAUACUAUAUGUGGAAGACAUCCCAUUGGGGUGUUAUUAAAUGCUAUCACAGAGCUUCAGAAGAAUGGAAUGAAUAUGAGCUUUUCCUUUUUGAAUUAUGCCCAGUCGAGCCAGUGUAGAAGCUGGCAAGACAGUUCAGUCAGUUACGCAGCUGGAGCACUCACGGUCCACUGAAGCUCCGAUCCUCAGGGACACCACCUGCACAGACUCGUACUCUGUCCAGGGUCCAGCCUAGCCUUUACCAAGAUGUUGGUUCUGGUGUGGGGGGAUUCUGAAACCUCAGACUAAUAGAACUCUCUUCUUCUUUUCUAGUAGGUGUAGUCCUCCUUAAUUUCAACUCAUUUUAAAAAUGCUUUCUAGUUUGAGGCAGUGGAAGGAAGGCUGGAAUCAAAAUAUUUGCCCAAAUUGGCACACAGUGACUUGUAAAGCAUUUAGCAUAUCUGAAAUUUGCACUCUUUGCAGACUCAUGCACAUAUAUUCCGCUUUCAGAAUAGUUUUGCAAAUUGUACACAGACAAAGGGUGGAAGCUUUUUAAUAAAAGAAACUGCAUUUAUAAAUGAUCUGUAUUAGAAUAUAAGAAAUCUCCAGUUAUAGACAAUUACUACCCAUGUUGUACAACAGAUACCUUCUAUUUUAGUUGCUAAUAAAGGGCUACACAACUCAAAAUAGUCUGAUUUAAACUUAUUGCUUUGUGGUAUAAAUGGAAAUUGUUUUUUAUUAAUUCUAUCUCAGAAUUUUUGUUAAAAUGGCAAGCCUCAGCUUCGAUGUAAUAAUGUUAAAAUUAUUUUAUUUUUACAUUUAUGUGAUUUUUUUUUAAAUCACAGAAAUUAUAGUCAUAUUUUAAAGUUAACUUUCAAAACUAUAGUCAUUGCAUUUUUGUGUGUGACAUACCCUCAUGUCAUUAUUAUAUUGUACUACAAUAUAAAUUCAAGGAUGCUUUAAAAACAAGUAGAUUUAUUCCUUUCCUCCAAUGACUGUGUUCGGUAGUCUGCACAUGAAGAUAUUGAAGAGUGUCAUUAGUUGUGUUUCAAGUUGUUGCAGACCAUCACCACUAUGGUUUUUUGUUUGUUUGUUUGUUUUUAUUGCUUUAAGCAAUUUAACUCUUUCACUUGAAUUUUUAGCAAGAAAUCAUUAACAAUAUUAGUAACAAGGCCUAUUGGACUUCUGAUAGUCCUGCAAAAAAUUUGUUUGGGGAGGGCAUGAUUUUUGGUGCGGCUCUUCCAACUAAAAUAAUGGUAUGGUGUUGUAUUUCUUUAUCAUAGAUUUAUUCUAGUCAUUUUGGGGAGGAAAGUGUUAACUCAUUAAGCCAUCAUGCAUGUUGUUCAUCAUCCCUGUUUUACCAACACUGGAUGUUUCUAUAACAUUGGAGAGUGUUAGUCUUCAGUGUUAUACCCAAGUAGCACAAGCUUUAGAUGCCUUGCACCAAUUUUCUUUUGGAGAUUUACGUUUCUUACUUAUUAAAUACCAAUUUUCUAUUCUCAAGAAUGGGAGAAAAUAAUACUACCUUUUAGAUUUAAAAUUUACCUACUUAUACAUGUAGGAAAUAUACUCUUAUACAUCAGUGUUUUAUUUUCCAUUAUUUAGAUACGCUUUUGAGUACUAUAAAUAUUUAUUUCUUGUUUAAUACAGAUUAUAAAAAUUUCUGAAUUGACAAUAGUGAAUUUUUAAAAUAAUGUUUUCUGAGUAUAGAAUUUGAAAAUACUGAAAAGUCAGAAGAAAAAAUCUAUUACCUACAAUCUCACUACUCCAGAGAUAACACUGUUAAAUGUUUUUCUGUAUUUACUUGUAGUCCUUGUGUUUUUUAUGAGUGUGUAUGUGUGUGUGUGUGUGUGUGCAACAACAGAAUUGAGAUUAUAGUGCCCAUACAUUUGCGUUAUGCCCUGUUAUCCUAAGUAUCUACUACCUGUGUCUCUGAAAGCACUAUUUUAAAAAUGCCUGCCUAAUAUGCUAUACUGUAUGAAAAUAGUUCUCUCUUUGGAUGUUAGGCUGUUUCUAAUUUUCCUCAAUUUUAUAAUGGUACGGACAUUCUGUGUAAAUUAGACCCAGUCUCUAGGAUAUAAUCAUGAAAAUGAAAUAAAUGGUUUACAUGAUAAUUUUGUAGGCCCUUUAAAAGUAUGCCAAAUUAUAUUUUCAAUAGAUUGUAUCAAAUUAACAGCACCCCCACAUCAGCAUCGUUUCUUUUAAUUUUUGAAAAAUUGUUAAGCAAGUAAUUGUUUCUUUUUUAAAGACUUUCUUUCGAAUUAGUCAUUUAUUGUCUUUUAUAAAUUUAGAAUGUUUUUUUUGAAAAACAACAUUAAAGAGACGUCUAGUUCUAGGAGUGUGUUAUAUUGCACAUUUUUGUUUGUUUAUUUGCUUUGAGACCUGGAACUUUGUGUAGCCCAGGAUGGCCUCAAACUCAUGAAUGAUCCUCCUGCCUCUUCCCAAGUGCUGGGAUUGCAGGCAUGCAGUACUAUAUGUCUAGCUUGUACUGUUCUCUUAAACCUAGAAUAUUCCAACCCCAGCUUGUCCUUUCUUAGAAUAUGAGCAAUCAUUUUUUUUUUUAAAUUACUUGUUUGGGAGUAGAAACAGUUGUAAACUGGUAGUGUUGUCUAACUCUAGUUCUGUCUCUGAUCCUGACUAACUAAUAUGUGCACUGGUGUUUUCACGCCAUAUUGACGUGUCCUCAUCUGUACAGUGUGCAGAUGACCUCCUUGCAACUUUAGUUUUUAAUAGAUUUUGGCUUCACAUGUUAAAUUGGUACGUGAUUAGUUUAGAUAUUUUUAUUUCAAUUCUACAUAUGAAAAUCAAAGUGAAAAACUUGUUAUUUCAGAGAAAGUGGAAAUUAGUUCACUUUAUUAAAUGAAAGUAUCAUCUAAAUUAUUGGACUUAGCCUUCCUAUUUUAAGUGCCUUUAACAGUUUUGUAUUUCAAGUAUAAAAUGUGAAAGAAAUUAUUGUCUGGUUCUAUAAUACAGUUUCUUUGUUAAAACCUUUGAAUUAUUUCCAGCAACCUUUUGUUUACCUUAGAUCGCACAAAAAUGCAUAAUCAUGGAUCCCCUACUCUCCCAGUAGUCAAGUUCUUAGGAAAUGUUCCUCUAGAGAUAAGUUAAGUGAACAGGUAAGUGGGCUCUCUGUCCUGGAAGCAACAAGUCCUUGUAAGCGUAGAGCCCCAGUGAGCUGGUCCAGUGCCUGUAUUCAUCUAUUACACUAUGGAUAGUAUUUCCUGAGCUCUAGUCACUGGCUAUUAUUAUAGUUACCAUAGCUUGCUUUGGAAGCAUGUAGUUCAUUCUCCUAGAUAAGGGGGUUGGCAGAUGUUUUCUGUGAGGGCCCAGUGAAUUAUUUUAUAUGCUUACAAUGGUCUCUGAUCUGAACUCUUCUCCUUUGCCGUUGGAAUACAGAAACAGCCAUAGAAAACAAGUAACAAAACACAUGUAUAUAUGUUUAAUAAAAAAUUAAUUUAUACUAAGGUGGAAUGCUGGAAUUGGCCUGCAGACCAUAAUUUAAUGUUUCUUAUCCUAGAUGGUAUAUGAUUCAUUUGUAGUUCAGAGUUGGCCAGUAAUUUAGCAGUAGUUUGCCACAGAUGGCUGUACGUUCCUGCCGUGUGAGUCUUCUUAAUUCGAUGCAGUGUCAGCAGCUGGAUUUCUUACUGAAUGUUUACACAGGUAAGUGGACAGUAGGGGACACUUGUAACUCUUGGAGACUGAUGUAAAAGCACCUUGAAGUCCUUGUAUUUGCUGAAUGAAGUUCAUUGAGUUUUCUUUGCUGCUGUAAACUAAUCAGGAAUGAAAGUAAUGAGUUGUUUGCCUUGCUGUGUAACCAAGGCUGCCCUUAACCUCCGUGGUGUUGGGAUUAUAGGUGUGCAUCACCAGGUCUGAGACAAAUGAACAGUUUUGCAUAUUUAAGGACACAAGACAAGUUUAAAAUGAUUUGUUGACUUUUGCCAUAUAAAGACUUGAAAACGUCCCCUUUUAUGUUACUCUCAUUUUAUUGAAACAGUGACCUCUAAUAAACUCAGAAUAAAGGAGAGAUUUUGUUUUGUUUCAUUUUUGAGGCAAGCUUUGUUUGUUUGUUUUUAAAUAGCCCCCUGGCUGUCUUAGAACUUGUAGAUCUGUCUGCCAUCACUACCCAGCGGAAAAUUUUAAUUCAAAUAAUUUUAGUUGUACUGCUACUUUGUCACUGAGGGUCACAGAACACCUGUCAAGUGGUACUGUCAGCUCUAUAGACCUUGGCAUUUUCAAAGUGUUCAGUUUUCAAAAUAACUACCGUCAUUAGAAACUACAUUGAGGAGCCUUACUGCCCCACAUACACAAUGCUGUUUAGACUGGAAAUUGUACAUCAUUGUAUUAAGACUAAAAAGUUACACAGUAAGAGAAACAGAAAGGCCUGUGUGUAACAUGAAGUGGUUGAUGGAAAUAGGUUAGCAUUUAUUUUUGAAGAGAGUAAAUUUAAGAAGUAGUCUUGGAAUAUUUGUGUAACUGCCACUCAAGAGGAUUAGAAUUUUUCUGUAUUAAUCUAAGGUGGGUUUUUGUUUUUGUUUUUUGUUUUGUUUGUUUGGCCUUUAGUCCCAGCCUGUGGGAGGUAGAGACAUCUGAAUCUUCUGGAAUUAUAGUCCAGUUUUGGGCACGUAGCAAGUUCUAGCCCAGCCAAGGUAAUGUUGUAAGACUCAUCUCCAAAGAAAAGAGGAGUAAGAAGCAUGGUUCUGGUCUGUGUUACGUGGAAUAUGUGAAAAUUUCUGGUGAUAAAAAUUGGCUAUGUUCUCAUCAGAUCACUGGAGACAUGCAAACAAAAAUUAGAUCAGUGAUUCUCAAAGUAGCAGUGAUACCAAUUGAAAAAGUUUUAUGAAUAAUUGUGUGUGUGUAUAUACACAUACAUUUAUAGGGACAAAAGCCAAUGGAAUUACUGUAGUUAAAUGUAACUUCAUUUAUAUUUCAAAUCAAAAUGCCUUUUAAACAACAUAUACUUUUAACAGAUUAUAAAUUGUUAAAAUGAUGCUUAGAAUCUUAGGCUAAUUCUUUAAACGUAAAGAUGUCAAUACAAAGCAAAAUUUUACCAGUUCCUAACACAAAUUGAAGUUGAGUUUUAAUGGCUGCUUUCUCAAACAAGUACUUCUUCACACUGAAGAAGAGCUACAUCAGUGUCAGGAGAGUGAACUCAACUGAAAGCUGUGUCAGGAGAGUGUACUCAACUGAAAGAGCUGGACAGUGUCAAAGUAUUACGGGAAGUAGCAGCAGCUGGCAGACUAAUUCAAGUCAGUUUCCUGCUGUGGCCAGCAUAUGCCUAUAAAUAGGAUCUCAUUGCAUGCCAUAUUAGCACUAGAGGCUGUCCUGUUUUAUAAAUGUUCCCCCAGUAGUGUGGCACCUGAGACCUUGGCCUCUUUAAAAUUGGUAUGGAUGGAGUGUGUUUGCUUAGCUGUAUCUGAAUUCUUAGAGGUUGAUGUUUCUAAUACCGUUUAUUCCAGGGUUGACUGGUGAUUUCAGACUAGGUUGUCUAUUGUUUUUCUAUUUUUCUUUCCUUCCUGUGUGCCCCCCACCCCCAUUUUUAAUGUUAGUAGAAGGUUUUGGCUGUUACCUUACAAAAUAAUAGGAAGAGAUUCAGAACCAGCUCUUCCGAUUGUGAAAGCCGUAAUAUAUCGCAUUUAUAGUUUCUUGGUUAAUAAGUUAUGUUCAGGUGCACAGUUGAGUUUGUAACUUUGAUAGGAUUGUAUAUAUUAUCUUUGUAACUCAAAUAGUGAAACCAAAGAGAACAUAAAUGCCGUUAUUAAAAAGUAGUUGAAGGCCAACGAUAUUCAACCAUACCAUUCAAGACCUGAGUUCUGAUCUUUAGAUCUGCCAACAUUAAAUUCAGAAAAAUACUUAAAACUUACUCACUUUUAUUCUGAAUUCCUGAACACAAUAUGAUGUUAAAUGUUUAAAUAAUAAAAACUAAAAAAAUGAAAACAAGUAGAAUAUAUUGACAGAAUUUUGUGUUUUAAAAUUAAGUACUUAAAAACUGUAAAAAUCAGUCUUAAUAAAGGUAUUUUAAACUUAAUUUUUUAUAGAUGGAAUUCUUUUUGAGAUUUUUUUAUUUGAAAUUUAUUUGAAUAUGGGCCAAAAUAGACAUUCAGUUGUUGCUCGUUCAAUUUUAGUGAAUUGAAACUUGAAAGAUGGAGAAGAAAAAACAAUAUAAUAAAGUGUUUUCCAUGAUCUAGGUUGGUAUAAACCUUUUAAUUGGAAGCCUUUUCCAAUUUUUGAGUUUAACUAUUGAAAUCAAGCUUCGAACUAAACCGUGAGGGUAGAACUGAUAUUUUAAAGUCUGUGGAAUUGCAGAUGGCGUUAAGUGAUGUUACUGUCCUGGGUACCUAGAGCCUUUAGUUCAUGACACGCUGCUUGCUGUGCUCUGAAGCACUGUCCCAUGGUAUGUUCCUUAUUUCAUGGUGCUCGGGCGCAUUGGAAGUUAAUUACAGUGGCUUUGGCUACGUGCCCGGUUCCCCAGGUGUGUGUGCAGUGGAAGGACACUGCAGUAGUGGGAGUCCACUUCAGCUUUGCAGGGGAGCUGCUUUGGUUUCCUGGGAAAUUGCUAUUGAUCAUCCCUUCCCACAACAUAGCUAGGACAGGAGUCUGGUUCUGGUUCUUUAGUUCUGUUUGAGUGCUAUACCGUAGUCCAUAUUUUGUUUUUAGCAGUGGCUAUUUGUUGUAAGCUAUUGUACUUAGAAAGUAAGGAGUUUUGCAGAUACGAUGAAAAUAAUUUAUAGAAAUUCCUCAACUUAUAAAAGUAGAUUUAUUUUUGUGGGCUCAAAUAACUACACAUAUUUAUAUUCUCUUAUUAGGGAAUUACUUUACAAUUUUUGAAUUCUCUUCUAGUGCUUACAUAACAACAGUACCAGUUUUAAAAAAUAAUUUAUUUUUAUUUCAUGUGCAUUGGUGUUCUGCUUGCAUGCAUGUCUGUGUGAGGGCGUGAGGUCCCCUAUAACUGGAGUUACAGACAGGUGUGAGCCGCCAUGUGGGUGCUGGGAAUUGAACCCAGGGCCUCUGGAAGAGCAGCCAGGGCUCUUAACUGCUGCGUCAUCUCUCCAGCCCAACAAUACCACUUUUAUGUAAUAUAGGAUGAUGACAGAAAUUUUGUGUAUGAGUCUUAGUGAGUUUUGAUGGCAGAUGCCUAACUCUCAGCCAUCCUAGUCCUUAACAAAGUGUUCUGCAAGUGCCUGCGCUUCUACCUUGGUGUUUCGUAGCUAUCUACAGAACUAGUUAAAGGGGCUGGGGAAAUAGGAUCUGGGAACAGCUCUUAGCUGGAGUUGUGUGGGGAUUGGUGGGUGAUGAUUCCAGGCUUCUGUUUUUCUGGAUGCUUUGGAGGUAUGGUCCAUGCUGUCUUGUAGAGUUCCCAGAAGAGGACUGGUCCUCAUUGUUCACAGCAAGUCAGUGUCUGUCUGUCUGUCUGUCUGUCUGUGUCUCUCUGUCUCUGUCUGCCUCCCCCUAUGACACCCUCCUCCUUUUUUCCUUCUCUGACACUUCCAUUCCUUUAUGGGCAUUUACUGGGAUCUCCCAUAUAAGCCUCUAUCUUUGAAUCCUUAUGUCUGAGUCUGUCUUUAAUUUUAUAAUAAGAAAGACUCAAAUUUAGAACUCUAGAAAUCUUUCUACAUGUGCUUUUAAAAAGGUAUUUUGUGGUUUUAAGUGUGAACAAAGUGGAAGAUUUGGUCGAAAUGAAGUAGAACAAGGAAUUCAGUCUGGACACAUUCAGACAGUAGGUGGCAGUUGGGUGCAGUUUUCACAUAACUCACUGCUGUUUUUCCAGAAUCAAGGACCAGGCCUAGCCUUGUGCAGCAACUAUGAUGGUAAGUUUAGUGCCUAAACAGUUCUUAAACAAAGUUUAUUCUGUGACCUUAGUGAGACUUUCUAUGAGCUUAUAAAAGAUAAAGGAAUAUGGAUUUUAGAAAUCUAGUAAGCUCUACAUUUAAUUUAAAGGCAUUGAAGGGGGGUUAUAGAGAUGACUUAGAGGAUAUGAGUGCUGGCUGCUCUCAUAGAGAGGGCUUGGCUUAGUUUCCAGCAUCCAUGUGGCAACUCAGACCUGCCUAAAACUGGAUCCCCUCUUCUGACCUUCAUAGUCAUCACACAAUGCAUGUGGUAGAUUACAGAUAUGUGGGCAGAUACUUAUACACAUAGAAUAAAAAUAAAUCUUUAAAAAAUACUGCAGGUUCAAAAAAGAACAGAAGAGGGCUACUGAGUCAAUUCUUAGUUUUAUAUGUACUGUUGUAUCUUGUUAUUUUUUGUGUUGCCUUUGCCUGUUUAGCAUUGUUUACAGUUCGUUGAUAGCAUCUUUAAAAAAUUAUAAUGCUGAUUUUUAUAGUGAUUGAAAGAAUAUGUAUGAAGUUUGUAUUUAUGUUGUUAAUAGGUUUUUUACUAUGUAAAAUUUAUUAUAUAUGUCUCAUGUGUACUUUGUUGAUUUUGCUGUACAGUUGAGAAGAUAGGUGAAAUUUAAGUAAAUGUUUAGUUCUAUCAUCCUAAGAAGGUAACACAAAUUUAAGCAUGAGAACAUUGAAAAAUUUUUAGUUGGUUUUCCUGGUGUGUUAGAGCUGUCUGUCUGUCUGUCUGUCUGUCUGUCUGUCUGUCUGUCAUUAGAAAUACCAGAGACUAUUGAAUAGCUGUUUUUAUUUGCCUUUGACCCUUUGAGAUUCUAUUAUAUGCUUUUGAAUUUAUGAUAGAAUAUUUCUUGACUUUGAGAUUUUUGGUAGAAAUGAUUAAAGAUGAGCUAGGUAAUACAAUCUAGGAAAAUCAGUUGAAUUUAAUUAAAGGAGGAAACCUGCUUUUCUCCUGGAACAUGUCAAACUGCUUUUAAAACAAUGCUAGGCCUACCCUAGCCCUUCCUCAGAACCCCACACUGACACAUUGGAAUAAGCCUGUAAUUUGGUAAACCCAUUGCUGCUUUGCACAUAUACUUGUGCUAGUAGAAAAACAGCUUGUUGCUUUUUAGGCAUAUUAUGCAAACAUCUACUUGAUUUAUUACAAAAUUCAUAGGUAAGUUUUUGACAUUUCAAAGUUUCCCACUGUGGGAAACCAAAGCUCUGGUAAGAAGCACAUGUGAAUUAAACCCAUCUGCGGAGUUUAGCUCAUUUCCUGAACAUUAAAUCCUUUCUAUAUGAAAUAUUAGAUAACAGUCAUUAAAAAUAGGAAAAUGUCCUUUAAGAAACUUAGCUGGAGGCUAAAUGUGGUGUUAGCAAUGUUAAGUGUCUAAUGUGGCCAUUCUAAUCACUUCUGAAAAACAGUCCAGAAUAAUCUAUAUCUCCUUUCCCUCACAGGCAGUUUGAUUCUACUUUAUACAUCGUGUGUGUGUGUGUGUGUGUGUGUGUGUGUGUGUGUGUGUGUAUGUGUGUGUGGGGGGGUAUCUUUAACAUUCAUAAGCUCUAAUCUAUAUGAAAUCUAUAAACUAAGAACAGUUUUUUUUAAAAUCUUUUUUCUGACUGACUUAAUUCUCUUAAUAUGAUUUAUCUCUGGUCUAUUUUUCUAUAAAGGAUAUAACUUCAUUUUUAACAGUAUUAUAAUUUUUCUUUUCUUUUUCUUUACAUCCCGAUAGAAGCUUCCCCUCCCUCCCUCUCCUCCCCUUUCCCCUCCCUCUCUUCCCCUCCCUCUCUUCCCCUCCCUCCCUCUCCUCCCAGUCCCUCCCUCUCCUCCCAGUCCCUCCCUCUCCUCCCAGUCCCUCCCUCUCCUCCCCUCCCCUUUCCCCUCCCUCUCCUCCCCUUUCCCCUCCCUCUCCUCCCAGUCCCUCCCUCUCUUCCCCUUUCCCCUCCCUCUCCUCCCAGUCCCUCCCUCUCUUCCCCUUUCCCCUCCCUCCAUCCCUUUUUUCUCCGAGAAGGGGAAGACUUCUUUGGCAUUUCAAGUUGCAGCGGGAUUCGGAGCAUCUUCUGUUAAACCUAGACAAAGCUGCCCGCGUAAGGGAAAUGGUCCAGAGGCAGGCAACAGAGUCAGAGACAGCCCUGCUCCAGUUGUUAGGGGACUCACGUGAAGACCAAGCCUCAAAUCUGUUACAUAUAUGUAGGCAGCCUAGGUUCGUCCCAUGCAUGUUCUUUGGUUGGCUCAGUCUCUGUGAGCCCCUAUGGACCCAGGUUAGUUGAUUCUGUAGGUUUUCUUGUGAUUUCUUUCAAUCCUUCCACCCCUCUUUCAUAAGAUUCCCUGAGUUCCACCUAUUGUUUGGCUGUGGGUCUCUAUAGCUGUAACUUCAUUCUUCAUGAUUUAGAAAAAAAUCAGUUGUGUUUUAUGCCACAUAUCUUUAUCUGUUCCUCUCUAGUUGGGCACCUAAAUCAAUUCCACAUUUUAGUUAGCCUUUGUGAAUAGUGCCACAGUAAACCUUGCCUGUGAUGUGUAGAUCUAGAGCCCUCUGGGUAAACACCUGAGAGUAGCAUAGCCGUGGGUCUGUUUUUAUUUCUGUUUUCUUAAGGACUUACUGUUUUCCAUGCUGAAUGCGAUGCAUUACAUUAGCCGAGGCACUUCAGGAUCCUUCUUAUACCCAUUCUCUCAACAACUUUUGUUGGUGAUUUGUUUCUUUUUCUCUGGUGUUUUUUAUUGUUUUGUUUGGUUUGGGCUUUUUUAGAUAUCUUGCUGAAUGGCCUGGAAGUAUGCAGAUCAGCUGACCUCAAACCUCCUGCAGGUUCGCUAGUCUCUGCCCCAUUUGAGUGUAGGCAUGGGUUCCACUCCAGUUUGCUUGCUGUUUUCCCUGUGACUGCCAUCCACACAGGCAGGAAGGAUCUCAUUGCAGCUUUAGUCCCUCUCUUUCUGCCACCCAGUGCGCUGCCGGACACCCUUUCAUUUGCUUAUCACCCAUUUAUGUGAGAAAUCUUUUGUUUUCAGAAGUCCCUCUCCCUCUCUCCCUCUCUCCCCUCCCACCCCCGUUUCUCCCCUCACACCCAUUCCUUCUUUCUUUUUUUUUUUUUCUUUUUUUUUUUUUUUUUAAAGAUUUAUUUAUUGAUUAUAUGUAAGUACACUGUAGCUGUCUUCAGACACUCUAGAAGAGGGAGUCAGAUCUUGUUGGGGAUGGUUGUGAGCCACCAUGUGGUUGCUGGGAUUUGAACUCUGGACCUUCGGAAGAGCAGUCGGGUGCUCUUACCCACUGAGCCAUCUUGCCAGCCCCCUCCUUCUUUCUUUUUGAGGUAGGGCUGGUCUCAGACUCUCAGAGAUCUGCCUGCCUCUGUCUCCUGAGUGCUGAGGUUAAAGGCAUGUGCCAUCACUCCCAGCUCAAGGGCCUAUUUCUUAUGUGCAUGUUUGUGCAUGGGCACAAGCGUGGGUGUGUGCUGAUGCAGGAGCAUGCCAGCUAACCUUGGUGUCUGUCAUUCCUCAGUUGUUAUUCACCUAGUUUUGUUUCCUGUUUAAGACAGUCUCUGACUGCCUGGAACCUGUCCCUAAGCCAGGGUGGCUGGUAAACCCCAGGGAUUUGCAUCUUCAUCUCUCUUUGUCCUGGGCUUUUUAUUUUUGUUUUUUAUUUAUUUUGCAUGUUAGUGUGUUUAUUUUAUCUUAUUUUAUUUUUAGACCGUGGCUUUUGGGGCUCAAGCUCAAGCCCCGCUUGCAAAGCAACAACUGCCUUCCCAGCUGAGCUACUCCUUGCCCUCAUGACUGUUUAUUGAUUGGGUUGAUAUUUUUGUUUUGUUUUUUGAGUUCUUUGUAUAUUCUAUUAGUCCUCUGCCAAGAUGGAAGGCUGUCUCUUCGCUCACUUAACUUCUAGCUUUGCUGUGCAGAAGCUUUUUGGUGUCAUGAGACCCAUUUGCUGCAUUUCAUUAUUUCCUGAGCAAGUGUAGCCCUCUUAUUUAGGAACAUCUUCCUUGUGCUUUUUAUCAGCUUCAUAGAUUUCCGUCUUAUGUGGGGAUCCUGGAGAGUUAACGGUCUCAUUUCAUUCUACAUUUAGAUGCCCAUUGUUGGAGACACCAUCUCUUCUCCAGGAUCUAUUUUUAGCAUCUUUAUAAAAGAUGAGGUGGCAGUAGUUACACAAAUUAUACUGGGUCCUCUUUUUGGUCUAUUGAUCAUGUCUGUGCAACUAUCUUGUUGAUUUGUUAUUGUGGCUUUGGAAUAUACUUGAAGUGAGAUGUGGUGACACUUGUAGGCUAAUCAUUUUUGCUCAGGAUUAAUGACUAUCUGGGUCUUUUGUAUUUCAGAGAGCGAGCGAGCGAAAGAGAGAGAAUUUCUAUUUCUGUGAAUGACAUUGUAGUUUUGAUGGGAAUUGUACUGGUUCUAUUGCACUGAACUUAUAGUUUCUGCUAGUAUAUGGUAGUAUGGUCUUUUUCACAAUUUCUUCUAAUCUAUGUGGGUGGCCUUUCAUCUUCUAAUGUAUCUUUUGAUUUCUCUCUUCAGUGUUUUGUUUUGGACUCUUGCUUCCUUAGGUUUAUUCCAAAAUAUUGUGUUUUGUUUUGUUUGUUUGCUUUGUUUUGUUUUGUUAGAGGCAGUAUUGAAUGGUGUUUGCAGAUUUCUAAACAUGUUUAUUACUUGUAUGUAAGAAAACUGCUGAUUAGUAGAAAUGAAAUCUAAGUAAGCCUUCAAGUUACUGACGCCUGAAGUUUGAGCCAUUUGCCAGUACUGAUUUAACUGAGGCUGGAAUAAGCCAGGCAUUGUAUGUGGAGUUUGUACCUGCAUCUACAGGACAGUGUUGCUUAACUCAUGGAUGCGCUAAGUGCAAUGAGGUAUGUACACAAUUUACAGGUGGGCUGCUUUUGCUGCCGUUUGUAGUUAUUGUUGGUUCUCAUUGUUUUGAGGUUCUCCUUCACUCUGUGAACCCAGCUGGCCUCUCUUGGUGAUUUGCCUUAGCUUCGCCUGGCUAGACUCAGUGCUGUGUGCUGAAAUGCCCAGGUAUAGGUUUUCUUUUUUUAAUUUUUCAAAGUGUAUGAUAUUUUAAUAUUUUCAUGUUGAGUAUUUUCAGUUAUAGAAAUACAGAUACAUAUGUAGUAUUUAAGCUGUUGCUAGUUUCUUACUUACGAGGCACUUUGCUCGGUUUAGUAUAUGAUAGUAGCUUAUAUAUAGUAAAGUUACAUUUCAUUUAACUUUUUAACUGAGAAGCCAACUGCAUAGAAUACAGUGGUUUGGACAAAUGCAUCCUAACACAUUUUAUGGUAUUGUCAGUACUUCGUGGUUACAGAAACUUUUAUCUGUUUGAGACUGCUAGCUCUGUCUCUCCUCCAGCUUCCAGCUUCUUCUUCCUCACGUUCCUCCUUUCUUUUCCCUCCCCCAUUUCUAAUGACUGUCUUGCCAUUGCCAUGUCUUCAGGUUCAAACAGUUGAGCUUUGAAAGGAAAGGGGUUUUGUUUCUUUUUUUUUUUUUUUUGAGUUUUAGUCUUUCUACCCAAGAUGAACAGUACUAUGAUGAGAUAUUUUUACUUCUCCCAUGACCAGACUUACAGCAUUGAUUAUUCAUGGGGGGGUGGGGGGGUUGGGGGAGGAACUUCCACUAAGAUAUACACUCAUUUGGUCAGCACUCUCACAGUAACAUGAUAAAACAGGAGGAUUGUCUUGUGUUGUGUUUUUAAAAAAGCAGGACCAAUUAAAUUGUGUAUCCCUAGGAAAAUAGCAGUGGAGUGAUUUUAUAUUCAGGACCAUGAAAAUAUCAAGAAACAUGUCUUAGCACCCCUCUUUUAAAUUAAUUGUCACAGGUAAUCGGUGGUAGUCUUGCUGGUUAAAAUGCUGUGAAGGAUGCCCCAUUACCUGAUAAAGUUAAAGACAUUUCCUUUAGCACUGGGAACACUACUGAAAAAUAAAAACAGCUGCUGUCAUUCUCCUUCCCUCUCUGAUGUGUUUUGCCCUUGGAUACAAAAGACUCCUGAAACAAGAGCAGAAGCCUGCUUUUAUAAUCUUGAAGAGGCUGCUUGAGGAAGCUGCCACUUUGCUUGUAAAGCUAGCUUCCAGUCUGGUUUCUGAGAGUAGGUAAUUCACUUGUCCUUUGAUGUCCUUAGUGACUUAGUAGAGUGGCCCUGACAACUCAGGAGAUCAGAUGCCCACAUGGCUUUCCUGUGUGUGAGUUUGCUAUACAUUCUCUCUUAUAGUACAGUGCUUCCCAUUCCCGCCAAAUCUGUAUCCCUCUUCCCCUUUCCUUUCUCACCUUUGUUUCUGUUUUUCUCUUUGCUUUGAAAUACAGGAAAGAGAAAAACUCAAGUAUGCAAUUGAACUUCAUGCUUUUAGUUGGCACUCAUGACUUUGACUUUCAGUUCUUUCUCCCAGGAGAACAGCCCUGUUGUCCACCAUUCUAGUGGAAGUUCAUCUCUGUGUGGGUAGGGGUGUGGGGUGUGUGUGUGUGUGUGUGUGUGUGUGUGUGAGACUGAUUGUCAUUUUAAAUAGUCCUACCCAUUCAACAGAGUACUGGAUUUAAUAAAUGAAUUGGAGAGGAAAAAAUAAUGUGGCUAUUUACUUAUUUAUUUAUUUUGAUUUUUUGAGACAGGGUUUCUCUGUGUAGCCCUGGCUAUUCUGGAACUUGAUCUAUAGACCAGGCUGGCCUUGAACUUAGAUCCAUCUGCCUCUGUCUCCUAAGGAAAUAAUGUUUUUUUAAUGUGCUGGGUUUUAUUCCUUACAGUUAAUUAUAUUUUAAUGUUUUGUCAAAGCUUUUUAAAGAAUAAUUUUUGUAGAAAUGUUUAUAAACAUGUAACUAUGUUGUAUGCUUCUACAAUUACUAAUAAAAUCGUUUUAAAGAUUA